UUUGGGUUUCUUUGUUACCGUUUUCAAUCUUUCGAAUUUCGAAUUCAAUUUCUUUGUAAUUGAUCAUCGAAUCAAUUCAACCCUAGUAACAAGAAACCGAUCUUCGACCCAAUUUCUUCUCCGUUAGCGAAACGGUUUCGUUCUUUCGUUAAUGGAAAAAUCUCCCUCCAAGUGUGAGUCCCCGAUUCGAUUUCUUCUAUGUUAGGGAAACCGAUUCGUUCUUGUUCUUUCGUUCUUUCGUUAAUGUUUUCCAAUAUCUCAUUGCUCGAACUCUAAAGAAAUUUCUGAACGAUUCAACAUCGUCAUUUUAGGGUUUCAUGUUUCUGAACCCUAAAAUUCUUGAUUCGAUUUGAAAGAGAUAUAUAGAAAUUGAAAAGAAUUCUAAUCCCUUGCAACUUGUGAUCAAACCAUGUGGAUUCACUUCACUCUCAAUUUGAAUUGUCAAGGAACUUGUUCAUCCACUAUCUCAAAGUCGCAAGAUUUUGGAAGACAUUUAUCUUCACUUGAGUUCCAUUUUACCCGUUGUGGGAAAUGCAGAUCUGCUGAAUGCUGAAAGAAGUUGUGGCCAAAAUAAAUUACAAGACUGCAUUUUGUGUAUUGCCAUGUAUAUGGUUUAUUACGUUAAUUUGCAUCCAUUAUUUCCAUUGUGUAGAUUGACAUGGACACUAUAGAAGUCAGUAACUUGAACCGACAAUUUUUGUUUCGACAAUCCCAUGUUCGGCAGUCUAAGGAUAAAGUUGCUAGGGAUGCUGUUUUAAAAUUUAGGCCCAAGAUAAACAUCACAUCAUAUCAUGAAAAUGUCAACGGUCCUGAUUUCAACGUGGACUUCUUUAAGCAAUUUAAUGUUGUUCUGAAUGGACUUGACUAUCUUGAUGCACGCCGACAUGUGAGUCGCUUGUGCUUCGCAGCUGAUGUUCCUUUAGUUGAAAGUGGAACUACUGGGUUCCUUGGUCAGGUAAAUCUGAACAUAAGAUGCAUACCCUAUCAAUUUCAUUGGGUUCAAGUUCGAAAACAGUAUCCCCAAAUUGGUUUAUGAAUUUUUUGUUCCAAUCUUAAUGGUAAUUUGUUACCUUUUUCAUGUUACUAGUUUUCCCCCUUAGGUUAAUUCAAAAACAUUCCUCUGAAAACUGCAACAUAAUUAUCAUGUACUAAGAGAGAGAGAGGGGGAAUGAAAUUACGAGGGAAAGGAAAGGUGGGGGUCGUGGUGGCCUCGUAAUUCAAAUGCUGUCACCUCUUUGGCCCUUCAAAAUUCAGGAUGGUGUUAAAGAAACUCGAGUAUCCUUAGCAUUCACUGUUCGUGCACUCGAUGCUGGGCCUAUCAUUGCUACUCAAACAAUUAAAGUUGAUGAUCAUAUCAAGAUACACAUAUAUGUAGGCACCUGCUUUGAAGGAACGAUUCUUCUCCCCAUGGAUAUUAAUUUAUCUUUGGCGUUCCUAUGUUCUUUCGGUACUUCCCUCUUUCUUCACUCACAAAACCAUUGUUCACCUUCACCUUUGUGAUAAACUUAAACGAUGGUUUAGUGACUCAAAGAUGGUUCCGUGAUAAACUUCAACCAGUGUUGGUUCCUUUUCACCUUCACCUUCGUUCGUUCUAAUUCAGGUUCGUUUUCACCUUCGUUCGUUCUAAUUCAGGUUCGUUUUCACCUUCGUUCGUUUUGAUUCAUCUUCGUCAUGAUUUCACCCUGGUUGAUGCAGUUAUUGCUCAUUUCAUGAGAUUUGAAAAUUACAAUGCCUGUUAUAUGGCACCAGUCACUUCUUGCAUUUAUGCAGAGCUAAGUGAUUCUUCAUUUUCCGUAAUUUUUUGUUAUAGAUCAAAUACAGUAUUAUGCUCAGUGAUUCUUCAUUUUCCAUAAACAAGACUAUUGAAGAAGAUUUUUGGAAGCUGAAGAGUUGUUAGUUAACCCAAUCCAUUUUACAUAUGUUGAAUGUGAAUUAAAAUACCAAUUUGAACAAACUUAAACAAUAUGCAACGUGCAGCAAAACCUUUUGAAAUGGUAAUUGGCACUAUCCACCUGUGUGAAAACUGAAAAGUGAAAAUACAUAUGCAGGAAACAAAGACACCUCAUGAACUUUAACCAUUUCUUUUAAGUGUCAUUUUUAACAAUAGAAUGAGAUUGCAUAAUUUUCAAAAAACACACACACACACAGUGUUGAGAAGUGAGCAAUUGAUGCUUACAAUUUAGGUAGCUUAAUAUAUUAAUGUAGAAAUAGAAAAGCAUUUUAUGCUUCUUGAUACUCUGCAAAUCCUUUCAGGUUUUUAGCAGUUUUGCUUUAUAUCAAUGUGAUUUCUUGUUUUUAUCACUUCUAUAUCUUUGUUUUCAAUUUUUUUAUCAUAUAUCUUUUGGAAUUUUUUCUAAUUGAUUUGACUCAAUUUUGUCUUUCGUGAAGUAACACAGGUUCUCCAAAUUAUUGUUUAACAGAAAUGUUGUUUUGGGUAGUUAUUUGUAUGCAUUGAUUAUCCAAGAGUGUGCUAAAUUGGUGAAUCUUGAUUUUUCAUGCCUAAGAAGGUUAAUUUGGGCCCUAAGAAAUUAUGCAGUUGCUAAAAGAAUUCUAGAUAAGUCUUGAGAGAUGCUGUGUUCGGAUGCGUUAGUGAGAUGCUUUUGUUUUACCAAAUACGUGGCUUACAAUAUGAAUUCUUUAUUCAUAUGGAAUCAGGAUGGUAUACAUGAAAAUUUUGAUGGUCUAAAUGCAAUUUGAAAUAUGAAUGUUUAUUCAAAAUGCAAGUCGGUACUUAAUAACAAUUUUCUUAUUAUGGUAUAGUGUGAAGAGGGUUGUGUGUGUGCCUUGGUGCCUCUGAUGUGAAAUUGAGUAUAUGUCCCUCGAUGUUCUUAAAUUGAUUAUAUGUCCCUCAAUGUCCCUAAAUUGAUGGUCUGAAUGUGAAAGCUUGUUCAUUACUUCAUAUGUAAGUGGAAAUGACACUUGGCGCUAUAGAUGCGAAAUAGUAUCGAUGUCCACCGAUGUCCCUAAAUUGAAUAUAUGUCCAGUGAUGUCCCUAAAUUGAACAUAUGUCCCUCGUUGUCCCUAACUUGAAUAUAUGUCCCUUGAUGUCCCUAAAUUGAUGGUCUGAAUGAAUGCGAUUUCAAUGUGAAUGCUUAGUCAUAACAUGAAAUGUAAGUGGAGAUGAUCCUUGACGCGAUGACUAUACUAUGCUUUUUCGUAAUGGUAAAUUGGGAUGAUGAUUUUGUCCCGAGUGACCUUAGAUGCAAAAUUGAAUAUAUGUCGGUUGAUGGCCCUAAAUUGUUGGCCUAAAUUUGAAUUUUAUUAUAACUUUUUAUUCAUAACUUGAUAUGCAUGUUGAGACGACCCUUGAUACAGUGACUCUAUGAUGCUUUUUUAAUAAUAAUGAUGAAUUGACAUGAUGAUGGUUGUGUGCUUUUGGUUACCUUAGAUGCGAAAUUGAGUAUAUGUCCCUUGAUGACUUUGAAUGCAAAAUUCGAUAUUUGAGCCUUAUAACCCCUAAAUUGUUGGCCUAAAUGCAAUUUCAUUAUUAAUGUAGAAAUAGGAAAGAAUUUUAAGCUUCUUGAUUGGACCUUCAACGACUCUACAAAUCCUUUCAGGUUUAGCAGUGUCGCAUGUAUCAAAUUGAUUUCUUGUGAUUUCUAUCACUUCUACAUCUUUGUUUUCAAUAUUUUAUCCUUAAUCUUUUGGAAUUUUUUUGCAAUUGAUUUGACUCAAAUGUUGUCUUGCAUGCAUUGCUUCUACUGCAAAGGUCACAUAAUCUUUGAACUAUUGGGACAAUUAGAUGUUCAUAAUUCUGCCCUGUUUUUUUGUCUAUUAUGGAGUUUAUGGGAACAAUGUAUGGAAGCAAGUGCUAGAUUCAAGCUUUACGGUUGAAAACUUUGCUGGUCAAUUACUUGAAGGUUAGAAUUUAGCACAGAGAGUGCGAACCUAUUACAGGUCUGUUGCAUGCAGAACCUGCGACUGCUUCAGGUCUGAUGCGGGCAGAACCUGCGACUGCUUCAGAUCUGAUACGGGCUGGUGCUUUGCAGAAUGCUACAGCGGCUGAGCCUGGUGUGUCAUAGACAAAUUCUGCUGUUGUUAAUUGGAAAAGACCAACUCUGGGAUGAUUCAAAUAAUGCUACGCCCAGACAGAUUCUGCUGUUGUUAAUUGGGAAAGAACAACUCUGGGAUGAUUCAAAUGUAAUAUGGAUGCAUCAUUUUCGUUGAAUUUAAAUAGAGUUGGCAUUGGAAAAUGAAUUGUGAUGAACUUUGUCAAUUUGUGCUUUCAAAGACAUACUGGAUUGCCCUUCAUUGUGGAGUGGAUGUUGGCGAAGCCCGUGGGUUUCUGCAUACUCUAAUUUAGAGAAGAAAGCACCAGAUUAUGUUGUUCAAAAGGCAUAAUAUCAGAAGCCCUUUCUGCACAAGGUACAUCUUAUAUUACAAUGAAGUGAUAAAUGUUAAUGUACCAACUCUUCAAUGAAUUUGAGAAAGAUGUUAUUAUGUGUAUUACAUAUUGAGUCUUGUUUGUCGUUCAAAUGUAGAAAUCAGUUGCUAUUUGUUUGAUGGAUGUUGUAACCUAUAAAAAAUAGUAGAAAAUAUUGCUCAUCUAUUGUCAAUACCACUGGAUGUGUUCUUAUUUAGUCGACAGAAACUAUUAGAUGGCUCUUUCACUUUAAUAGUUGCUGACUUGUUUUCUGAAUGUGCAUAACAUCUUUCUAUUCAGAGCUUGCCUAACCUAUGUGGGUUUUGAGGUUUUAACCAUAAUUUAUUGAUUGAGACAUGGCUUAACUAACCCCUAUUAGACUGGUUUGCAUAGGGUAAAUUGACCUAAAGUGUGAAGGUAUAGAGGAGAAAAAGAUUCGAAAAGAAGGGAAGUUCUAGUGGGUGGGUGAUAUGGAAUCUGACUAAGCAAGAGAAGACUCUUAGCUUGCAGAAGGAUAGAAAUUUUAAAGGUGCAUUCUUCUUAUGUAAGAGUCUCUUACGGAAAUAUAGUUUAGUGUAUGAUUAAACAAACACCAUAUUAAACAGAACCAAAUUCU